GCUACUGUGCCAGCUGGUGAAUGGCUCGGCUCGAGAGCCGACGACGGACGUGCCAAGCUGCGAAAAGCUCGUGGGACCCGCAUGGAGGGUACGAACACGAGAUCUCCCAAUCGGAAUCCGUUCAACAAUUGCCACGCGCAAUAGGGAACGCCCUGAAUUGAAACAUCUCAGUAAGGGCAGGAAAAGAACGCAACAGCGAUGUCGUCAGUAACCGCGAGUAAACGCGACACAGCCCAAACCGAAGGUCUUCGGACCAAUGUGGUGUUCGGGUUGACAACCAAAUCUCGACAACUCAUCUGAAGUCUCCUGGAACGGAGCGUGAAACAGGGUGACAACCCCGUAAGAGAAAACAGUACAGAUGGCGUCAAAUCCAGAGUAGCAGGGGUCGGAUAUCCUCUGUGAACAUUCCAGGCAUCCCCUGGAAAGGCUAAACACUCCUCGAGACCGAUAGCGAACAAGUAGCGUGAGCGAACGCUGAAAAGCACCCCGAGAAGGGCGGUGCAAUAGGGCCUGAAAUCAGCUGGCGAUCGAGCGACAGGGCGUACAAGGCGUCUCUCAAAACGACCGA
rnacentral:rRNA from 1 species